AAUAAGUGUCUUUUGUAAAUAUGAUGUCAUUCAGUACGCAAAGGACUAUUAUCUUUCUCUUUUAAGAGCUAUUCCUUACUUUUUAGUCUCAAAUAUAAUUUUUACUAGUGGAUUACAAAUUUUCUAGAAGAUGACGGUUUUUCAAAGAUACCGUUAUCUUUUAUCGCUGUUUCUCGCUGUUUGAUGAGAAACCGUCGUCUUCUAGAAAAUUUGUAAUCCAUUAGUGAAAAUUUUCUUUUAAAUCAAUCCUUCUUUGUU
rnacentral:sRNA from 1 species